CUGACGAAUCAGACGGUCCAGGCACAGUGCCUGCUCCCUAGGGGGCAGGCCCCCCAGACAACAGUGACACAGCAGAAAACAUGGCUCAGGAUGGGAAAGCACCUCAGAGGGGCCGGGUGGCCUGCUGGAGGAGGAGAGGAUGCCUGCACCAAGUCUUCAAAGAUAAGUAAAGCUGGUAGCAGAGAGUGGAAAGGUAGAAGGCACAGCAAAUAUAAGGCUGGAGGCUGGAAACAGCAUGAGGCAUGGGGAAGCUGGGCAGGCCAGUGUUGCUAGAGCAUCAUGUGGGAGCUGAGCUUGUAGCAAGGAAGCUGGAGAACCAGGAGGGGCCAGGUCAAGGGGGACCUUGAAUAUCAUGCCUCAGACGGCUGUUCUCCUAUUGUCCAGGCAAGAGUCAUUUCCAGGGGCUGUGAGGAUGCCGUUCAGACUGUGCCAAGAGCAGUGAUGCCUUUGUGAUGCUAAGAGCUGGCGCUUUGACCCUCAGCCCGACAUGAGAGCACGCAGGGAUGGACAUGAGGCAGGGAGGCGAGGAGUGGGGCAGCCAGAAGACAGGUCCUCAUUGGUCAGCUGCCUGGGGGCACCAAUUCCCAUGGUAUUUAGAAUCUUCAGGGCCUGGUGGUCCUUGGCUCAGAGGACAGUGAGGCUGUGACAGUCUCUCUCUGCCUUUCACAGGGUUCACCUGCUAGGGGUUUCUGACAGCCCCCAAGGGGCAUUCGGCUAAUGGGAAUGGGCUUGGGCUCCAGCGGUGACCAUCUGCCCCGCUCUUUGUUUCCUUGGGGAGGGGGCGUACCGGAGAUGUCAGACGCAGAGCCACAUUCCGGCACAGGUUUCUCUCCAUCCCCCCUCCCAGGUCACAGUGUGGACUGACACCAACUGGGAAAGGCUGAUGCAAGCAGGGCCCAGCUCUGCAGACCCAGAAUUGGAAAUGAGAGACCCAAGCUAGAAGCAGCGGAGAGAGGCAUGUCGUUCUGGAGGCCGAGAGAGGCCAGAGGGCCACAGUGGGCCACAAGGGGCUCUGAGAAUGCUGGAGCCGCGAGAAAAAGUCUGGGUGAGGGAGGGAGGAAGCCCACUGGUCGAAACAUUAAAAUGAAACGGCCCUAGAUUCCAUAGACAGAGCUCAGCCAGGUCCCCGCACGGAGAGCAGGAGAGGGAAAAUCCGGACCCCUCAAAGCCACUCAUCACCCCAGGCUGAACUUCCACGAUCUCACCAAAAAAAGGGGAAGAAAGAAAAGCAAGAACGUCUCUUUGUGAGGAGGAUGAACCACCGGGGGGAACGUGGACGCCCAGCGGCUGCACGGCCAGAGCUGGGGGAGAUGAACCUCACUUUGCGAAGGGCCUCUGAACUUCCAGUCUAACCAGCGAGGGAAAGAAGAAAACCCAGGGGGGGGGGGGGGGGGGGGGGGCGCUAAAUGACCACGUGACCCGGGAUGCCGACCCCGGGGGAUUCCAGCCAGAUCCUCAGGGACUCAGAAGGAAGCAAGGGCUGGUGUCUGCCACCCUCCCCCCCGCCCCCCAGAGGACUCGGAGGUUGGAUGUCCCCGGGGAGAAGGCAGGGCUAGGGUGGGCGGAGGGCAGGGGCCGGGUACAGAUGGAGAGAUGGAGGCCGAGGACAGGAUGCUGGACACUGGCUGUGAGGAUGUGGGUUCAAACCCUGCUCUGUGCUCAGCCCGGGCCGCUUGAGGGCGGGGCAGACCCAGUGUGGAAGGUGCUGUUCUGGGCAAGAGAUGCUCGGGGUGGAAGAGACGCCCCAGGCUGGUUCUGGAACAGAGAACUGGAGACGGGCAGCCGGACGGAGCAGGAACGGCCUCUCUAGCUUUUCAGCUGUACAGCCUGGGAUCCUCUUUUGUAAAAUUAUCCGGUGUUGGUUGCUUUUUUCUGUCCAGUGAGGGCUCCUGGUUCCUCUGAUCAGAGAUGGUACCCGGAGCCCUAGGCCUGGCCGCUGAAAAUCCUCCAUCCUGGGCCAGCGUGAUUGGGCCAAGGAACGGGCACGUGACCACGCACGACCAAUCGGAGCCCUUCCCUGGACCGAGCCCCGGCCCCAGGAGAAAGAGGCUCUCCUGCCCGUGGCUGAGCAGGGGCUCCCCAGAGUCUGGGUCUUGGCCUCCAGGAAAUGGCACAGCAGCAGGAGGAGAAAAACAAGGCCGCCGGCAGAGAGAGGAAGGGACGGGCCGUUGACUGGCUGGCACCCACAUUGCUUCCUGCAGUUCUGGGCCUUUGGCAUUAGGCUCCUCGGUUUUCCCUUAAGGCCCUUUGAGUUGGCUUCUGCCUCUGACCAUUGAGCCAACCUGACUGAUCAGACUGUAGCUGGGAUUUCGCAGAGGGCAAAGCACCUUGGGAAGGGAGAAAGGAAAGAACCCUGAUUCUGCGCCUGCUGUAUAUUAGGCACCACGCCGGGGGAUCUGUUCCAGCGCUCAUAACCACCUUGGAAAUUAAAUAUUAGUAUUGCCUGCAAAGAGCCUGGGGCACAGAGAAGCAAAGUCACUUGCUCAAGGGCACACAGGCAGCAAAUGCCAGAGAUGCCCAGCCUGUGCUCCAGCCACAGCUGUUCCCCAGGCGUGCCGGGAGCUCUCCGGGUGCUGUGCCAUGCCAGGCUCCUGGUGUUCCUUCUGCCUGGAACGUCCUCCCCUCCUUGUCCACCAACUUAGCUGACAUCUUACCUUUCUCACCUUAGUUUUCUGUGACUCACAAUAUGCCCCCCCCCCCCCAACACACACGUGCCUGGCCCUUAACCCAGGUGCACUCUGUGCUCCCUGCCCUGGUCAAGGUCGUCGAUCCUGGAGGGAUGUGCAGGACUACAGCGGGAUUACAGGCCCCAUGCCCCUCCCUGCACAGACUCAGAGCCGCAGCAUCCCUGUGCGGCCCAGGCGCUUGGCCACCCCGAAAGAGGGUUUGACACAGUCAUUCACUUCUUUGCCUUUAAAGGAAAUGCCAGUAAACAGCUCUUCUGCUCUGACCCGAGCACAGACGGCGGGAUUUGAGGCCCUCGAGAGAGGGUGUCUGCAGGUCAGGGAGCCUCUGAGAAGUCUCCCGGUCACUGCGCGCGAUGAGAGGCUGCCCUCGGGUGGACCCGCAGCCGGCCUCCCCGCCCCCCCCCGGGCUCCAGCUGUUUUGAGAGUACAGAUGGGAUGGGUCGGGGUGGGGUCGGGAGAGAAAGCAGAUCCCGAACCUGGGGAGUGUCUCCCGCACGGCCAGGGCUGUAAUAUGCUGGCCCCCGAUAGUUCCCUGAGCAAGAAAAUUUCAGCCAAAAACCGGGGGACUUUUCCAUCUGGACAACAUCAGAUUCCUGUCUCAUUCAGGCUCAACGUAAACAAGGUGGGGCGGGAGUGGGGAGCAUUGGGUGACGAUGUGGGAGAGGGCUCGUCUCCAUCCCACCCCCACCCGCUGGGACCAGGAGCAGCAGCUCCCCAAGCCGAGCCCCAGAGCCGCAUCUCAGAGGGCGAGCCGGGGACCAGAUGCUCAGGAAGUCCCUCCCAGCUCUGCCCAUCGCAGCACCCACGGUGUGAAGGGGGCAACCUCACCAUGGCCGGGGGUGUGGGUGGGACCUCCACCAAAUUCCUGACCAUAAACCAGGCAAGCUGAGGCCUCAGCGAAGACUGGGACAUUGAUCUUUGUUAGGCCACCUCAAGAACACCCACCAACCAGCCAGGAUUCCAGGAGCCAGGUGGUCCUGCGUGAAAUCCCAGCUCCCCACCCUGUUGCUGUGUGACCUUGGCCCCCUGAGGCUGAGUCUCAGUUUCCAUUUCCGCCCCCAGGGUUUCCCAGGCCCCACCGUGGUCAGGGCCACGUUAUGACUUGUGUGGGCCCCGGGCACUUUGUCUUCCUGGCCCCUUACUCUAUAAAAAUUUACUAAAAAUGAUACCUUGGGACUGCAUUGGUAUAAAGAUGAAUGUAUUCAAAGUAGAUUAUAUUAAUUAUUUUUUAUGAUUUUACAAGAAAUGAGCACAUUUUCUUGGGCCCCUGAACGUCUAAGUGGGCCCUGGGCAUUGUGCCGCUGGUGCCUAGUGGAUGCCAGCCCUGGGUCCUGUGAUGUUUCUGACACACAAUUGUGCAACCUCAUAGCAGCUACUGAAUCGAGCUUCACACACCCCAGGGUGCACCCCUCUUUCUGACCAUCUUUGGGGAAGCCCUGUUGAGAUCAGCGUCUCCCACAGUGGGUUGGGGCUUGGAGACUGGGAGUCCCCGGGGGGUGAGGGGCUGGAUUAGGUCAGGUGAGGCUGGGGCCUGCUGAUUUUCAGUGCAGUCAGAUCCAGGGAGCCGGGUGGCUUGUGUUCCGGAGAACUGGGCAUCUGACUCCAGCACAUGUGG
rnacentral:lncRNA from 1 species